rnacentral:lncRNA from 1 species
GAGAAGGGAGGAGUUAUUCAGGCCUCCGCCAGCUUCUAGGCCCUGGGGAUGGUCUUUCACCUCCCUCUUUCUGAUCUCUUUUUCAUGCUCCUCCUUGCUCCAAAGAAAAGCCGGAUGGCAAAAGAGCCCAGAACCUAUUGGAACUGACAAAAUCAAGUCACGGCGCCUACAAAGAUGAGGGGCAGAUUCUGGCUGCCUUUUAAUUUCGUCCUUCACCUGAUAUCUGUGCCAGAGAAUGAUAAAAAUCAUAAUAAAGGAAAUAAUGGAAGAGGAGACUUAUGUUACUGGGGACAUCUAACAUAAUUAUUUUCCUGAUUCAGUGGCAUGGUUCAGUCUUCCAGGAGUUCUGCUACAGAGAAGAGAGUAACCCCCAUCCAUCAUGGCCAAAGCACCCAGUCAGGCUCCGCUCUGGAUCCAGCCCGACAAAUGCAACCCUUGAAUAGGGUUUGUGCAAGCAAACUGGAUGACGACCGAAGAAACCCUGUCGCUUCUGAGAAGACACCCAAUCCAAGAAUGAAAGCAUCAGGUUCAAUACCUAGGAACUCCUGUAGAGGGUGUUGUGGAAUCUUCUUUAAAAGAACAAAACAAGGCAAAACAAAGUUUAAUAGGGUAGAGCAGCCAGGUGUGGUGGGUCAUGCCUGUAAUCUCAGCAAUUUGGGAGGCCAAGGCAGGAUCUCAGCAAUUUGGGAGGCGAAGGCAGGCAGAUCACUUGAGCCUAGGAGUUCAAGACCAGCUUGGGCAACAUAGCAAGACCCUGCCUAUACCAAAAAAAAAAAGUGAACCUAGGAGUAUGAGGCUGCAGUAAGCUGUGGUUGUACCAGUGCACUUUGGGAGGCCAAGGUAGGCGGGUCUUCUGAGAUCGAGAGUUUGAGACCAGCCUGACCAACAUGGAGAAACCCCGUCUCUACUAAAAGUACAAAAUUAGCCGGCAUGGUGGUGCAUGCCUGUAAUCCCAGCUACUCGGGAGGCUGAGGCGGGAGAAUUGCUUGAACUCAGGAGGCAGAGGUUGUGGUGAGCCAAGAUCGCGCCAUUGCACUCCAGCCUGGACAACAAGAGCGAAACUCCAUCACAAACAAACAAACAAUAAACAAAAACCAUAGAGUGAUUUCUGGCCAACAGAGCAAGAAAGAAGUGAACCAAUGAAAACCGGUCCAAGUCUGGGAGUCAAUAUGGAAAAGCUGCCUAAUUAAUGUGGAAGCCCCAGGGAAAUGAUAUACCAUGAAAACCUAACACUACAAAAACUAGUUGUCAGACACAUGUGAGCAGUGAACAGAAUCCUAAUAUGCUGGUUUAACAUUCAAAACUGGAGAGUGUUUGUGUAUCUUCUAAAGACUGUUUGGGGUUUAUUUGUGGAGUUCAGCUGAGUGUCAUCAGAACAAAGAUUAGUGCAAAAAAUCUUUCAGAAAUCAUGCCCAAACAUUUGCAUGCACCUUAAAUAAGAAAUGAAAUAGCAAGAAGAGUAUGUCACAAUAAAGUAUAAAUAGCAAGUGAUAUGUCUCAUCGUACUGAGACAGUUUUAUAAAUGAGGCAAAGGCCUUGUCAAAAAAUAAUGAUGAUUUUCAAAAUUCUGAAACGCAAAGGAGGAAAACUACUUCAUUCAGUUAACAGGAAGCACACAAGAAUCUCCCCAUCAACCAAGAUUUUUUUUUUCUAUAACCCACGCUUUGUAAGACAAUAAUAGCAAAAACUAUAAACUAGAAUUUGUUGAAAGAACAACUUCUAGAAUUUGCCCUUUAUGUGCUGUUUUACCAUUGUCAUGUCUGUCUCUGGUAUGACUUCCUCAUCUAUUAGUAGCCUCCUAAUAAAUUUGAACAAAUGAAUGAAUGAAUAAGAGACAACUAAGCAUGAGGUAUUGCAAGAUGGUAACUCAUCCAGGGAAAAUUAAAACCUGGAGUGGAUCAGAUGGAAAAACAAAAUAAGACACUAGAAAAAAAUCACCAGGAGGGUUUCAAACCAAAAGAUCCCCUGGUUAACCUUCAGCUAAUUAUAAGAUUUAAUUAACUAGAAAAACUCAAUCCUUGUUUAUUCUAUUUAAUUGAGAUUUUACCAUAUUUAAAAUGAUGUUACUCAAGUGUUCUCAUUAAUAUUUAAUGAAAGUGUGAGAGAAUUGGCUAACCAAAUUUACUGUGCUUAGGUAAACUGUAAUUAGGAAGGGUUAGCAGAGCAUCCCAAGGGACCUAUCAAUCACAAAAUGAAGCGAUACAAUUACAGAUGAAUUUCAACAAGGAAACACACAAAACAGUGAUCCUCAAAAAAGAUGGAAUAAAAUUACUUGAAUGUGGUAGUCGGUUCUGAGAAAUGCAAUCAAUCACAUGUCAUUUCAGACAACUCAGAAGGAAUAACCCUACCCAACAGACUUGAACUCUUUGUGUGUGUGUGUGUGUGUGUGUCUGUGUGUGUGAUAGAAUUUCACUCUUGUCGCCCAGGCUGGAGUGCAGUGCGAUCUCGGCUCACUGCAACCUCUGCCUCCCAGGUUCAAGCAAUUCUUCUGCCUCACCCUCCCUAGUAGCUGAGAUUAUAGGUGCCCACCACCACACCCGGCUAAUUUUGUAUUUUUAGUAGAGAAGGGGUUUCACCAUGUUGGCCAGGCUGGUCUCGAACUCCUGACCUCAGGUGAUCUUCCCACCUGGGCCUCCCAAAGUGCUGGGAUUACAGGCAUGAGCCACUGCACCUGGCCCAGACUUGAACUCUUGAUUGCAUGAAAGUGUAUUAAUCUUCUAUCUGCUUAUUCCCAAUUUCCCAGCUGAUAAAAUGCCCCACUGUUAUUUCACUUAAAUUUGGAAUAACCUGCAUCUAGUUAAGUUGGAGCUACUUUGUCUUGUUGCAGAUUUUCUUUUGCUUUGCUGUCUUCAUUCUAACUUGGCAGAGCCCAGGUGCUUUGUCUCUAUUUGCCUGCAAGACCUCUUUUCCAAGACAUGUCAGGUUUCUCUCUAAAGUACCUUCCACCUGGAGGAUAUCUGUUCUUGUUCUUUAAUUCCUGGCCCUAUUUCCUAUUCAUCUGAAAAACUAGGCUUUGUGAGCAGGAUCAUGCAUGGCAAUGAGUUCUAAUGAGUUUUUAAUGUUUCACACUUCAUGAUGAACAUAUAUUUGCAUUUCAGAAAAUGCUUUUAAGGAAUGUUUUUUUUUUUCUGCCCUCACUCCUAACUCAGUUGCCUUUAAGCAAAACCAAAGAGAGCCAUGGCCAGCCUGUUCAAAUGGCUGCAAUCAUUUAAGCCCCUCUCGCUGCACCCUGGCCCCUCUUGCCUCCCUAGCCUGCCCAUGCUUGCCCCUGUCUCAACUUCUACCCCCACUCCAGCUGAAGAGAUUUGCCAUUCUCAGCUUUCACCUUUGGGGAUCCCUCUUGACCAUGGUUAGCAAUUGCUGUGACCAUCCUCACAUCACAGAUUUUUGGGCUUCUGUUUCUUAGGACAAUGCCUGCUCUCCCUGCUAGCCUAUCCCUCAUCCCAGGCCCUCCAACCUCCAGCCACUGCAACUCUAGAGCCACAUCCUAUCCCAUUGACUAACCCAACUGCCAAGCCAAGCCCAAUCCCCAGACCUGGAGCUCAGAGAAAUUAUUAAUCCAAUCAAAGGCACUAAAGUUGGGAUUCUGACUCUGAAGCAGGUACCAAAUUUUGGACAGAGAGGGGCUCCUGAAACCAUACUAUUCCUGCAUUAAGUGUCUGGCACUAGGCAGGGGAUAUGAUGUGAUCUAACAAGGCCAUGCACUGGAAUUAACCUGCGUGAGCUCCACUUGGCUGCCCUCUAAAGGUCAAUGCAUUGUUUGAGCCUAGGGGAGCCAGUCACUGCUACAUCAAUGGCUGCAUCACGGUAUCCUUUUUAGGACUAAACCUGCAUUUUCCUAAUAUUCAGGUCUGUAGAAACUUUGACUGCAAGAAUUUUACAGGAAUGGGUAAAUAUCUGUAAGUACUUAAAAGUAUAUAUGGUAAUAUAC